rnacentral:rRNA from 1 species
UACGUAGGCAGCGAGCGUUGUUCGGAGUUACUGGGCGUAAAGGGUGUGUAGGCGGUUCUUUAAGUUUGGUGUGAAAUCUCCCGGCUCAACCGGGAGGGUGCGCCGAAUACUGAGGGACUAGAGUACGGGAGAGGAAAGUGGAAUUCCUGGUGUGAGCGGUGAAAUGCGUAGAUAUCAGGAGGAACACCGGUGGUGUAGACGGCUUUCUUGGACCGUAACUGACGCUGAGACACGAAAGACGUGGGUAGCAAACAGG